rnacentral:rRNA from 1 species
GAUGAACGCUAGCGGCAGGCUUAACACAUGCAAGUCGAGGGGUAUAGUUCUUCGGAACUAGAGACCGGCGCACGGGUGCGUAACGCGUAUGCAAUCUACCUUUUGCAGAGGGAUAGCCCCAGAGAAAUUUGGAUUAAUACCUCAUAGUAUAGCAGUUUCGCAUGAAACCACUAUUAAAGUCACAACGGCAAAAGAUGAGCAUGCGUCCCAUUAGCUAGUUGGUAAGGUAACGGCUUACCAAGGCUACGAUGGGUAGGGGUCCUGAGAGGGAGAUCCCCCACACUGGUACUGAGACACGGACCAGACUCCUACGGGAGGCAGCAGUGAGGAAUAUUGGACAAUGGGCGAAAGCCUGAUCCAGCAAUGCCGCGUGAGUGAUGAAGGCCUUAAGGGUUGUAAAGCUCUUUUACCCGAGAUGAUAAUGACAGUAUCGGGAAAUAAGCUCCGGCUAACUCCGUGCCAGCAGCCGCGGUAAAGUGACUACU